UACGUAGGGUGCGAGCGUUGUCCGGAAUUACUGGGCGUAAAGAGCUCGUAGGUGGUUUGUCACGUCGUCUGUGGAAUUCCGGGGCUUAACCUCGGGCGUGCAGGCGAUACGGGCAAUACUUGAGUGCUGUAGGGGAGACUGGAAUUCCUGGUGUAGCGGUGAAAUGCGCAGAUAUCAGGAGGAACACCAAUGGCGAAGGCAGGUCUCUGGGCAGUUACUGACGCUGAGGAGCGAAAGCAUGGGUAGCGAACAGGAUUAGAUA
rnacentral:rRNA from 1 species